GACCCCUUAGCUCAGCGGUAGAGUGUGUGAUUCCAGCUUGCCGGCUUGCUUAGCCAGCGGCAUCCACAAGGCCAUCCGUUCAAAUCGGGUAGGGGUCA